UAAGAGAAUUUAAGGAAAUUAAUGUUGUUAAAAAAUAAGUAUUUUUAAGAAAAUAAAUUAGUUAAAAUUAUAAAAUUGUAAUGAAAAAUUAAAAAUUUAUUAUAGAAAAAAUUACCUUUUGUAUUAGGGUGGUUUAAAAUAUUUUAAAAUUUUACAUUUCCCGAAUGAGUAAGGGUUAAGAGUGAAGUUAAGUAUGUUUAAUAAUAUUAAUAAAAAUUUACUUUUGGAGUUGAAAUAGUAGUCGGUUACUUAGGUAUCUGGUUUUGUUAACAUAAACAUAGUUUAUUUAUUUAUUUGAUUAAAUUAAGUAUUAAAUAGAUUUAGAUACUUAAAAAUUAUUAAAUGGAUAAGCAUUUAAUAAAAUAAUAACAUUUAACAGUAAAGAAAUUUAAGUAGGCUUGAAAACAGGUUUCUUGGAAAAAGUUAUAUUAAAGAUUUAAUAAUAAAUUAUUUAAUUUUGUUUUAUAGGAUUAAUAAAUAAAUAAAUAAUGAUUUUAUAAAAAUAAUGAAGUAAUAAGUAAAUUAAUUUAAUAAUAAUUAAUUAAUAAUUAUAUAAGUUUAUAAAUUUGACAAAUUUUUCUUUGACUGUUUAACAAAAACAUUUCUUUUAGGUAUAAAUUAUAAGUAAGGUCUGCCCACUGAAUUUUAAAGGGCCGCAGUAUUAUGACUGUGCGAAGGUAGCAUAAUCAUUAGUUUCUUAAUUAGAGAAUGGAAUGAAUGACUAAACAUAGAAUUAUUUUAUUAGUUUAUAAAAUUGAAUUUAAAUUUAUAGUGAAAAUGCUUUAAUGAUUAAAAAAGACGAUAAGACCCUUUAGAGUUUUAUUAAAUAGAUAAAAAUAGUAAAUUAUAUUAAUUUAAUUUUUCUGGGGCAGAAUAAGGAAAUAUAAAACUCCUUAUAAUAAUUUAAUUAAUUUAUAAAAGAUCUUAAAUUUUUGAAUAAAGAAAAAGUUACCUAAGGGAUAACAGCGUUAUUAAUUUUUAGAGUCCUUAUCAAUAAAUUAGAUUGCGACCUCGAUGUUGAAUUAAAAAUCCUAAAUUUAGCAGAAUAAAUUUAAGGAAGUCUGUUCGACUUUUGAAUUUUUACAUGAUUUGAGUUCAGACCGGUGUAAGCCAGGUUAGUUUCUAUCUUUUUAGUUAAGAAAAAUUUUUAGUACGAAAGGAUUGAAAUUUAUAAAUAAUUUAUUAAAGAU
rnacentral:rRNA from 1 species